rnacentral:rRNA from 1 species
CGCGAACGGCUCAUUAUAACAGCUAUAAUUUACUUGAUCUUGACUUCCUACUUGGAUAACUGUGGUAAUUCUAGAGCUAAUACAUGCACCAAAGCUCCGACCUUACGGGAAGAGCGCAUUUAUUCGAACAAAACCAAGCGGCUUCGGCCGUUCGCAGUUGACUCAGAAUAACUAAGCUGAUCGCAUGGUCUUGAACCGGCGACGUGUCUUUCAAGUAUCUGCCUUAUCAACUUUCGAUGGUAGUGUAUCUGACUACCAUGGUGGUGACGGGUAACGGAGGAUAAGGGUUCGACUCCGGAGAAGGGGCCUGAGAAAUGGCCACUACGUCUAAGGAUGGCAGCAGGCGCGCAAAUUACCCACUCUCAGAAUGAGGAGGUAGUGACGAGAAAUAACGAGACCGUUCUCUACGAGGCCGGUCAUCGGAAUGGGUACAAUUUAAACCCUUUAACGAGUAUCUAUGAGAGGGCAAGUCUGGUGCCAGCAGCCGCGGUAAUUCCAGCU